rnacentral:rRNA from 1 species
UCAAGCUACGAAGGGCGCACGGUGGAUGCCUAGGCGAUCAGAGGCGAAGAAGGACGUGGACAGCUGCGAAAAGCUCCGGGGAACCGCUAACAGGUUGUGAUCCGGAGAUCUCCGAAUGGGGAAACCCGCGCAGGGACUACCUGCCAGCCCAUGAUGAAUACAUAGUCAUGAGGCCGCCAAGCCAGGGAACUGAAACAUCUAAGUACCUGGACGAAAGUAAAUCAAACGAGACUCCCCUAGUAGUGGCGAGCGAACGGGGACGAGCCUAAACCUUCUCAGUGCAAGCGUGCGAGCGUUGCUGAGAGGGGGUUGUGGGAUCCUGGCGGAGAGUUGCACCUCUCCGGUCGAGUCAAAAAGGGAAGAGCUAGCAGAACGGCAUUGAAUGGCCGGCCAAAGAAGGUGACAGCCCUGUACGCGAAAGCGAAGCCCCUCGGCAAAGGACACCCGAGUAUCGCAGGACACGAGUAAUCCGGCGAGAAUCUGGGGGGACCAUCCUCCAAGGCUAAGUACUCCUGAUCGACCGAUAGUGAACUAGUACCGCGAGGGAAAGGUGAAAAGAACCCCGGUUAGGGGAGUGAAAUAGUGCCUGAAACCGUGUGCCUACAAGCAGUGGGAGCGCUAUGCCCGCAAGGGAAUGCGUCACCACGUACCUUUUGCAUAAUGGGCCUGCGAGUUACCGUAUGUGGCAAGGUUAAGCCGUCAGGUGGAGCCGAAGCGAAAGCGAGUCCUAACAGGGCGACAAGUCGCGUGCGGUAGACCCGAAACCUUAGCGAUCUAUCCAUGUCCAGGUUGAAGGGCGGGUAACACCGCCUGGAGGACCGAACUCACUCAAGUUGAAAAUUGAGGGGAUGAGGUGUGGAUAGGAGUGAAAGGCUAAUCAAGCUGGGAUAUAGCUGGUUCUCCCCGAAAUAUAUUGAGGUAUAGCCUCGGACGAAUUGCGACGGAGGUAGAGCACUGAAUGGGCUAGGGGUCCUACCAGAUUACCAAACCCAAUCAAACUCCGAAUGCCGUCGACAAGUAUCCGGGAGUCAGGCUGCGGGAGAUAAGUUCCGUAGCCGAGAGGGAAAGAGCCCAGAUCGUCGGCUAAGGUCCCCAAGUCUGAGCUAAGUGUCAAAGGAUGUGGGAGCGCACAGACAACCAGGAGGUUGGCUUAGAAGCAGCCAUCCUUUAAAGAAAGCGUAAUAGCUCACUGGUCAAGCGAGUCCGCGCCGAAAAUAUAACGGGGCUAAAGCUCAGCACCGAAGCCACGGGAUUGAGCAAUCAAUCGGUAGGGGAGUAUUCUCAGGGAGAUACACGUCGGACGGUAACGACCGAUAACGGCCCUGAGAAGAGCUUAUGCAGGCAUGAGUAGCGAUAAACCGAGCGAGAAACUCGGUCGCCGUAAGCCCAAGGUUUCCUGGGGAAGGAUAAUCCUCCCAUGGGUUAGUCGGAUCCUAAGCCGAGGCGGAGACGCGUAGGUGAUGGAAAGCAGGUUAAUAUUCCUGCACCACCAAGGUGGGCAUUGACGUAAGCGGGGACGGAGAAGGGUAGGCCGAGCGCGCUGGUUGGACAUGCGCGUUCAAGCCUGUAGGGCGAGCUGCCAGGACCCGGUAGGGACAAACGGUAGCUCACGUGCCCGAGAGGUGAUGAGGUCAGGACCUAGUCCUGGAUACUCGGUGAUCCCAGACUUCCAAGAAAAGCCGCGUACUGAGCCCCUUUGGUGUCCGUACCGCAAACCGACUCAGGUGGGCGGGGUGAAUAUCCCAAGGCGCGUGAGAGAACCCUGGUUAAGGAACUCGGCAAAAUGACACCGUAACUUCGGGAGAAGGUGUGCCGGCUUUCGUGAAGGAGCUAGCCUCUGGAGCGAGGGUUGGUUGCAGAGAAACGGGGGUUGUGACUGUUUACUAAAAACACAGGACUCUGCGAACUCGAAAGAGGACGUAUAGGGUCUGAUGCCUGCCCGGUGCUGGAAGGUUAAGGGGACGAGUCAGCGCAAGCGAAGCUCCGAACCGAAGCCCCAGUAAACGGCGGCCGUAACUAUAACGGUCCUAAGGUAGCGAAAUUCCUUGUCGGGUAAGUUCCGACCUGCACGAAUGGCAUAAC